CUUGGUCAUUUAGAGGAAGUAAAAGUCGUAACAAGGUUUCCGUAGGUGAACCUGCGGAAGGAUCAUUAUUGAAACUUCUUUGGAAAUAGUACUGUUGCUGGCCUUGUAAUGAGGUAUGUGCACGUCUAUUACCAAUCUAUUCAUCCACCUGUGCACUUUUUGUAGGAGUUCAUUUGAGGCUAUUUUGUACUUGUGCAAUUUGGCUUUGAAAGGCUUCUAUGUUCUUAUAAACCCAUUAGUAUGUCUCUGAAUGUUUUUUAUUGGGACUUGAUUGGCCCUUUAAACUUGUACAACUUUUAGCAACGGAUCUCUUGGCUCUCCCAUCGAUGAAGAACGCAGCGAAAUGCGAUAAGUAAUGUGAAUUGCAGAAUUCAGUGAAUCAUCGAAUCUUUGAACGCACCUUGCGCCCUCUGGUAUUCCGGAGGGCAUGCCUGUUUGAGUGUCAUUAAAUUCUCAACUUCAAUAGCUUUUACUAGCUUAUUGAUGCUUGGAUGUGGGAGCUUGCUGGCGUCUUAGAUGUUCGGCUCUCCUUAAAGUUAUUAGUGGAAACCUUUUUGUUGGGUUAUUCCUGGUGUGAUAAUUAUCUACGCUUUGAAUAAUCUAAUGUUCCAUUGGGACUUGAGAUUUCUCAGUAGAAAUACUGGUCUGGGUAUUGCAAUUAAUUUUGCUGUAUCUGUAAUCUCUCAGUAGCAAUACUGGUUUUGGCAUUGCAAUUAAGUUUGCUUUACCUGUAGUCUCAGAGGAAAAAGGGAAGUUCUGCUUUCUAACCGUCUAUGUAUAUGGACAAUUUAUUGACUAUUUGACCUCAAAUCAGGUAGGACUACCCGCUGAACUUAAGCAUAUCAAUAAGCGGAGGAAAAGAAACUAACAAGGAUUCCCCUAGUAACUGCGAGUGAAGAGGGAAAAGCUCAAAUUUAAAAUCUGACAGUCUUUGAUUGUCCGAGUUGUAAUUUAGAGAAGUGUUACCCGUGUUGGACCGUGUACAAGUUUCCUGGAAUGGAACGUCAUAGAGGGUGAGAAUCCCGUCUUUGACACGGAUCCCAAUGCAUUGUGGUAUACUUUCGAAGAGUCGAGUUGUUUGGGAAUGCAGCUCUAAAUGGGUGGUAAAUUCCAUCUAAAGCUAAAUAUUGGGGAGAGACCGAUAGCGAACAAGUACCGUGAGGGAAAGAUGAAAAGAACUUUGGAAAGAGAGUUAAACAGUACGUGAAAUUGCUAAAAGGGAAACGCUUGAAGU
rnacentral:rRNA from 1 species